GGGUGCAACCGAAUGACUGUUUAGCAAAAACAUAGUAGACAGGUUUAAGAUUUUUAAUAGUUGUGAAUGAUGUUUGACCAGUGCUUGUGGAAACAAGUAAACGUUGGCUGUAACUAUAACCGUCCGAAGGUAGCAAAGUUCCUUGUCACCUAAGUAGUGACCCGCAUGAAAGAUUUAACGGUUUGGUUUGUGUCCUGUGGGUAUGUUAUGGUGAAACACUAUACUACGUGAAGAUACGUGUAAUAUUAGGAUGGGACAAAAAGACCCUGAGAAGCUUUAUUGGGAGAGAGAACCAGAGGUGUUGAUAGCGGGGAUAUAUACUAGUGUAAGUGGGUAUAUUUUUCAGCAUCACCGCAUUGCCAAGCAUGCAAAACCCUGCCUUCGGAGCGGGUGCUUUCUUUUAGAGGAGCAACAAUCAUUUUACAAGGAUUUUCAGGAUUACCAUUGGAUAUGUAGGCAAGCAUUCGGUGUGGGGCUAUUUUAUUGGGGCUAUGCCUUUAUGUAAGUCAAUAAUAGGGUGCCAAGAGAACAUACUGGAAGAGAGCAGUGUUUUUAGCAAGGGCAUAUCAUGGGACAUUUGAAUGUGGGGGUAUAGUAGUGAAGGUUGUAGUCAGCAUUAGUGAACUUAAGUGUAACGUAUCAGAUAACAGCUACUCCUUGGAUAACAGGCUUAUAUAGGCUGACAGAUCGCAUGGAGGCAUAUCAUUGGCACCUCGAUGUCGGCUUGUCUCUUCUAGUAUAUUGAUUAGUAUAACUAGUGUGGUUGCUCAUCACAUAGUCAGGCAAGUGAGCUGGGUUCAGAACGAUGUAAAUCAGUUUGGUCUAUAUCUUUAUUGGUGUUGCGAGAAAGUAUAGUAUAGCAGUACGCAAGGAC
rnacentral:rRNA from 1 species